CGUACUGUGAAGCAUCCUGUUAAGUCAGGCAACGAGCGAGACCCACGCCAACAGUUGCCAGCUCGUCCUCCGGGAUGUGGGGACACUGUUGGGACCGCCUCUGCUAAAGAGGAGGAAGGAAAUGGGCAACGGUAGGUCAGCAUGCCCCGAAUUAUCUGGGCUACACGCGGGCUACAAUGGGUGGGACAAUGGGUAUCGACACCGAAAGGUGAAGGCAAUCUCCUAAACCCAUCCGUAGUUCGGAUUGUGGGCUGCAACUCGCCCACAUGAAGCUGGAAUCUGUAGUAAUCGUGUCUCAAAAUGGCACGGUGAAUAUGUCCCUGCUCCUU
rnacentral:rRNA from 1 species